UAUAUUUAAGAUAUAACCUGCCCAGUGUUUCUAAAGAAAUAAAUGGCCGCGGUACUUUGACCGUGCUAAGGUAGCAUAAUCAAUUGACUUUUAAUUGGAGCCCGGUAUGAAAGGAUUUUCGGGGGCCACCUGUCUCCUGUGCUUUUUCUUGAAAUUUCUGUUUAGGUGAAAAAGCCUAAUAUUAAAAAAAAGACGAGAAGACCCUAGGAAUUAAGAUUUUGUUGGGGUGACAAAGGAACAAAUUGACCUUCCUAUUAUAUUUAUCUUACAGGACGAUUCUAAGAGAGAUAAAAUUACCCUAGGGAUAACAGCAUAAUUUAUUUUUAAGAUUGUGACCUCGAUGUUGGACUAGGAAUGAGAUAGGCUAGCCGCUUAUUUUAAUAGUUCUGUUCGAACUAGAAUUCCUACGUGAUCUGA
rnacentral:rRNA from 1 species